UAGAGUAAGUAGCCCAAUUAUUGGGUUUGAAUUGCUAGUCUAGUUUUAUUAAAAACUAUAGAUGAAAUUACUGAAUCGGCUAUCUUUUUUUUCCAAUGUUGAACAGAGAGUAAUAGAAGGGAAAUCUUCUAGUUCCAUUAAGAAUCAUUUAGUUUCUGUCGAGGCAAGAUUAGAAAUUUCACUUCCUUUCUUGACAAAGUUACAGUGGAAACAAAUGCUGUCAGCCUUGAUUAAAAUUGUUCUUCACACCUAUUUCAAGCUGGUUUCUUUUCUGAUUAUGAACUGAAUAGUAGAAAAAAUUAUGCAGUUUCAUCUUUGUUUUCUUUGUGUUUGUUGUGCAGGUUGGCACUUCGCUAUUUCGAUUUAUUAAAGUCAAUUCAUGAACACAGAAAAAAGAUUGACAAUUCUUAUAGAUUCUGGCAGCAAAAAUAUUAGAAGGGCAUGGAUUAUAGGAAGUCGUAAUGAUGAAGACAGAAUUGCUCCACUGCUUGUGUUGAGCUCCUCUUUCAAAAAAAAA